CGAGUAAAAUUGGUGAGGCGAAUUUCGAAUGGUUUGCAGUUUGAAAAAAUUCUUCGUUGAGGAUAGAUCGCUAUUUUUUAGGAGUAAAGCAAAUUCGAACGAGUUCAACGAAUAUUUCUUGUGCUUGAAAGACACAAAACAAAUCGAUCAAAAUGUUCAAAAACCAUUUGGAAAUGAUUGGGCGCAAUGAGAGCCCCAGCAAGAAGGCCAAAUUCUGGCAAUCCUACAUCAGAUCCCUGAAGGGUUCGGAGGAUAUUCGCGCCCAUGAGACACCAAGAGUUUCUCGCCCAUACAGCUCGUACCUGGAUUCGCCCACAUACAGGAGCAUCUACGAUGAGCCCGCCACGGCCAACGAGCGCGUUCAGUCAUCUGGCUACAGAUAUUUGCCAGUGAGCCGUGACACCUACGGCUACUCGCCACGUGCCAUCUACGAUCAUCAUUACAGCAGAACAAUUCCAGCUAAUUACGAUGCAGAGAAGGCCUGGAAUGAUCAUUUGAAGCGCAUGCAAGAAAUUGAGCGCAGAUAUCCAUCUCGCUAUGGUCUCUACUUGAGAGACAAGCCACUCACACCAAACUCUUUGGUGCCUUUGGAAUACGAGCCAGAGGAUAAGCUGUUGACUGAACUCAACAAGGCACGUCGCUCGGUGUCGCCGUUCCGUCCCAGCCGCACAACACGCGCUGGCAGUGAGCCCUAUGUGCCACCACCGGUCUACUGGAAUCGCGAGGGCAGCGUGCCACGCGGCGGACCAUCUGUGUUCGAUCGCGCCACCAGCCUGGCUCCGUUCACGCGGCCAAGCUUCCGCGCCAGCUCGCUGGAACCAUUGGAUGAACUCUUUGAAAGUAAGUUGCCCGCAAUUGCUGAGGCGGCGGCCGCCGAUGCAGCCGCCAGUAGGCCAAGCAUUUUUGAGCGCGCCGGCUCACCAAGUCCCACUCCUGUCAAAGCCGGUCGCUGGGGACCACGUCCCACCGAAGUCGCCUACGAUGCUGAGGGACUUCCAAUCUUCCAUCCACGCAACCGGUUCAGGGAUAUGUUGAGCCCCAGCCCCAGGCUGCCCAUCUCAUCGAUUGUGCGCGAUCCCUUCUGGUGGGAUGUGGAUGAUUUGGUGCCCUUCCGUGCCAGCUCGGUGCCCCGCGCCUCGAGCCCCGUGGCCCGUGAUUCGUAUUUGUCGCCGGUGAAGAAUCGUUAUCUGUGGUCCAGGCACCCAGCCAGACCCCUGACACCUGAGGCAGAGGAUUAUUUCUAAAACAAAUAAAAAUAUAAACAAAAAUCUAUCAGAAUCGUUAGCUCUAAUAACAAGCGAUGCUAUAUCAUAUAGCACUUCUGUAAUUUUUUUGUACUUUAAUUUACAUAAAUUACAUGUAACGAAAUGCAAUACAAACAAAUUGCUCACCGCUCAAUUUUGUAAACGAACGAAAACGAACUUUAAAACAACAACAACUACAACAAGAACAACAACAACAACCAAAACAACAACCACAACGAAUGCAUCAAUGGGGUCCCCAAAACAACGACAAGCCUUGGUUUCCACAACAAGAACUGGAAAUCAACGAAAGUAGCAAAAAUGAAUCUGUAGUCUCAAAAUCCUCAACAACGAUUGAAUUUUUUCAAAACUGCCAGCCCCAGAACAACGGGUGGCUGCCUCCAACUCAAUAUUGCCAUCAAGUGCGUACUUCCCGUAGUAACAAUAAAAACUAUAAUAAUAAUAAUAAAAUUAUAAUAAAAAAAAAAUAACUAAAGGAAAACAUUUACAACAACAACUCUCAAUAAAAAGUUUUUAUUUUCAAUUUCUUAGCUCAUGUUUUAGUAAUAAGUGCAAGUAUAUGAAAAAAAAAAAAAUCAAAAAUUCGAUUUACAUUUAUUAUAAUAAAAAAACCAAAUCUUUUAUGAGCCGCUCUUGAACAACUCGAGCGCCAUAAAUUGUUCCUUUUUUGUAUAUUUUAGACGCUAUAUUUGUAAUUGUAUUGAUAACAAAAAAAAAAAAAAAA